rnacentral:tRNA from 1 species
GUUGGGAUGAUGAAAUUGGUAAACGUGUCAAGGGUGCACCAUCAACAAGGCUUGAAAACUAUAGGUUCAAAUCCUAUUCCCAACACCA